UCUACCUCUUUGUAAGUUCAUGACAAUCGUGCCAGUUCGUGUGAUAACUGCUGAUCGUGGCUGACAGUGUUUCUGGACUUGACCCUCUCGUCGCGGGAGCUGGUACUGACUAGUACUUUUAAUGGUGAUACUGUAUUAAUUUGACUUUCAACAUUGCUUCCUUAACGAAAAGGAUAAAUUAAAAAAUGGCUGUUGCUGCCAGAGUAUUUUCAAAAUUUACAGUUAGGAACUGUGGAAGUUUAUUGAGAUCACAAGUAAGAUUUAAUUACACAGAAACUAGGAAAAAUUUAAAAAUUGGUGAAAAUACCAAAGUGAUAUGUCAAGGUUUUACUGGAAAACAAGGAACUUUUCAUUGUCAACAAGCUUUGGAUUAUGGUACAAAAAUAGUUGGAGGAGUUAAUCCUAAAAAGGCAGGCACACAACAUCUUGGAAAACCAGUUUUUAAGUCAGUUAAGGAGGCAAAAGAAGCAACUGGAGCUACUGCAACAGUUAUUUAUGUUCCUCCUCCAGGUGCAGCAGCAGCCAUCAUGGAAGCUGUGGAUGCUGAAAUGCCAUUAAUUGUUUGCAUUACAGAGGGUAUACCUCAACAUGACAUGGUCAAAGUGAAAAGACGUUUACUUGAACAGAAUAAGUCACGUUUAAUUGGUCCAAAUUGCCCUGGAAUAAUAGCACCUGAACAAUGUAAAAUUGGUAUUAUGCCUGGUCAUAUACAUCAAAAAGGAAAGAUUGGUAUUGUCUCAAGAUCAGGAACUUUAACUUAUGAGGCUGUGAAUCAAACGACUCUUGCUGGACUUGGGCAAACGUUAUGUGUUGGUAUUGGUGGUGAUCCAUUCAAUGGUACUGAUUUUAUUGACUGUCUGGAUAUAUUUCUCACAGAUCCAGAGUGUGAUGGUAUCAUUAUGAUAGGGGAGAUUGGUGGUAGUGCAGAAGAAUUAGCAGCAGAAUAUCUCAUCGAGAAUAAUACUGUUGGGUGGAAAAGCUAAACCUGUAGUAUCAUUUAUUGCUGGUCUUACUGCACCACCUGGCCGAAGAAUGGGUCAUGCUGGAGCUAUAAUUUCUGGGGGAAAGGGUGGUGCACAAGAUAAAAUUAAUGCACUCGAAAAAGCUGGUGUGAUAGUAACAAGGAGUCCUGCGCAAAUGGGUAAUGAGCUUUUGAAAGUAAUGACACGGCUGGGCUUGAUCUGCAAUUAAAACAUGUUGCCACAAUUCCGUGUAGUCUUUCGUGUCCAUGUAUCUUCAUGAAAUAAAUUGAAAGUAUAUAAGUUA